CGGACAAAUGCCGAAGGAAUUACAGCAUUCCCGGGUCGUGGCGUGGGUUCGAAUCCCGCCCCUGCUGCACGAUGGCAGGGUAGUUUAGCGGUAGAACAUGACCGUCUGUUUCUUCACUCUUGUUGUCCGCUC
rnacentral:Y_RNA from 1 species